CAGAAAAAGACCGGCAGUCAAAUGCAGAUUUGAGAGUCCUGAUUUGCCACAGUACAAAACUGUCAGAAAAAAAGCCCUCAAAUAAGAAGUAGUAGGUAAAAAUGAGCAAAUUAUGCAUACCAAAAUGGCAGAUGUGGAUCUGACAUGUCUUUCUACUUAAGGAAAUUAAGAAUUAAUAAUUAUUGUAAACCCACAGAACUCCCGGUUCUGUGGCACUAUGAAAUGUCACUGUUUCUUACAAGCUCCUUCAUUCAUGAAGCAACAGUAUUUGUUAAUUAUUAUUUGCCAUAAUACAAGUGAGUAAAAUCAGAGAUGUAAAGGUUUCUAGUUUUUCAUGUACAUUAACUACCAUUUUAUAUUUCACCCCUUCCUCCCGAGGUACACAAUAGAAAGCAAAGACCUUUCUGACCACCCCAGACUUGGAUCUCUCUUCUCAGAAAAUAAACUGUGAUUCAGCAGCAGCGUGGGUUACGGCUCUUUGCCCUCACCGUGCUCUGUCUGCACUACUGGAGGGCUGUCUCUGAACACUCCCAUCACGCGUUCACUGGAGUGGGAAAACAAAAGGUGAGUACUGAAGGGCCACUGCAGGAAACAGUCUUUCCAAAGCAUUGAAAUUUCUGCCCCCUCCCUGCUCAUGGAGAACUCUGCUGACUCCUGUCACAACCCCAACUGGUGGACCUUCCCCAAAGCAGUAAUGAAUGACACUGAAUCAUACUUCUGGCAUGCUGCUAGGAUAAGGUGGUCAAGUUAGUGACUUUGUAACAGGAUCCUUCUGAGGCAACUGUACCCUUAACUGGCACACCACCAAAUCCCUAUCUUCUUCCCAAAAUGCUGCUUCUACGUUACAUGAUUUGGAGAAGGAAGAUGAACUCAGGUAUUCCACUUU